CAUGAAAGUUGGCCAAGGUCCUUCCUAACCGGUGUGCUGCCGCAACCUUUUUUUAUCAAGAAACUAUCGGCUUCGAACUCAUGGUAUGAUCGCGCCAAAGCCCAGUCGCCUCCAAGCUUGCCACCAAGAUCACACCAAGAAGAUACUCUUUAGAUGUAUUACAACUUAGGAUUUGAUUUUUGACUCCAACAUAUGGAAAAACUAAACCCUAAGGC
rnacentral:lncRNA from 1 species